rnacentral:lncRNA from 1 species
AUGCCAGGGGACGGGGACGGAAGAAGCAAGCUCUCCAGACUCAUUUCGUUGUAUAGGCCUCUUUACUUCAUUUCGACCUGUCUUCUUAGGGAUCCCUGUGCCUUUGGACAAGAGGUAAUCGCCUAUGUGAACAGACGAACUCGGGACUCAUUGCCAAAUGACCAAUCAGGGUACAGGCACAGUGCACAAAUAACGUGUGAACUCGAUAAUGAACGGAUGUGGUUGUGUCUCCUAUGAAUCUUCAUAAUUCAAUACAUCGUGUGUUGUAAUGGAUACACUUAAUGCAUGCGUGUGAAAUGAAACAUUUUCUGAAUUUUGGUGCUUGCAAUUUUUUGUCACUUUUGUGUGGACUAUCAUUCUUUUUUUAUUUUAUUUUUUAUUUUUUUGGUACAGGGCAUCGAACUCGGGUCCUUGCGCUUUCGAGGCAGGCGGCAGAACCACUGAGCUAAAUCCCCGGCCCUAUCAUUCUUUUUUAAAAAUAAUAUAGAAAACGUUAUUUAUGUUUCCAGUACAGAUCAAAACAAAUAAAACCAGAAGUAUUUGUAAACGAAAGAAUGGUUGCUGCUAAAUCAGGAAUCAUAGCAGUAUUUCCUUUCAAUAAAUUAAAUGGUUGAGAACAAUGCUUUAAAAAGUUUCACAAGUUUCCCUUAAAUCUACUUUCCUUAAUAUUUUACUUUUGUUUAACGCAAACUAGGACGUGAGAGAUUGAGGCCAAUGGAUCUACAGGAAAUGGAGUCCCAGGAAAUUCAGGCCAGAAUUUGGGGCUUGGAGAGUUAUGAUGAUGUUCCAGUAGAAGGUGACAUGACUGUACUUGAAUAAAUGUAGAUUGUUGUACAUGAAAAAAGGAAAACAUCCUUUAAU